rnacentral:rRNA from 1 species
UACGAAGGGGGCUAGCGUUGCUCGGAAUUACUGGGCGUAAAGGGAGCGUAGGCGGAUAGUUUAGUCAGAGGUGAAAGCCCAGGGCUCAACCUUGGAAUUGCCUUUGAUACUGGCUAUCUUGAGUACGGAAGAGGUAUGUGGAAUUCCGAGUGUAGAGGUGAAAUUCGUAGAUAUUCGGAAGAACACCAGUGGCGAAGGCGGCUCACUGGACCGUUGUUGACGCUGAGGUGCGAAAGCGUGGGGAGCAAACAGG